CAGGCAGGGGCCGGGGACAGCGCAUCCCAGGACCUUGGCUGUGAAGGACACGGGAGGCGCGGCUGGACACCCGUGGCCCCUUUCUGUGCGCGGCCGGCAGCACAGCGUACUCGCGUGCGGCUGGAUCAGUCCAGGAAAGAGGGAGCCUGGGGAACCCAACCCAAGUCGCCGCUCCUCCCUCAAACCUUUGGGACUAAGGGAUGCUCCGGAGGGUCCAGGCCCUCGUCAUUCUGGCUGCGUGAAUUUGGAGACUGCGGUGGCCGUGCGUAAUUAAUUCAUGGCCUGGUGAGCGGCGGGUCAGCCACUCCGGCUGGGAGAGAAAGCUCUA
rnacentral:lncRNA from 1 species